rnacentral:rRNA from 1 species
UAACACUAACUGGAGGACCGAACCGACUAAUGUUGAAAAAUUAGCGGAUGACCUGUGGCUGGGGGUGAAAGGCCAAUCAAACCGGGAGAUAGCUGGUUCUCCCCGAAAGCUAUUUAGGUAGCGCCUCGUGAAUUCAUCUCCGGGGGUAGAGCACUGUUUCGGCUAGGGGGCCAUCCCGGCUUACCAACCCGAUGCAAACUGCGAAUACCGGAGAAUGUUAUCACGGGAGACACACGGCGGGUGCUAACGUCCGUCGUGAAGAGGGAAACAACCCAGACCGCCAGCUAAGGUCCCAAAGUCAUGGUUAAGUGGGAAACGAUGUGGGAAGGCCCAGACAGCCAGGAUGUUGGCUUAGAAGCAGCCAUCAUUUAAAGAAAGCGUAAUAGCUCACUGGUCGAGUC